CUUCACAACUGGCUGCUUUACUGUAGAGGAAGGGGUACAGCAUCCAGUUGUGUGAGA
rnacentral:pre_miRNA from 1 species